GGGGGUGUAUACGGUUGGAUAUGGUUGGGUUUCUGCAUAAACAUGUAAUAUCUGUUCUAUUCUGUUAUGGGCCUAUGGGCUUUAUUUUGAAUUCUGUUCUGGGCUAAGGCCAACUUAUUCUAUUUCUGUGGUUUAAGCUGAUAUAGGCUAUGGUUGGGUUAAUUUACACACUGAGUUUCCCCAAACUCACCCCUUUUAUUUUCAUCCACGCAGGUAAUCCCCAACCAUAGUGGGCUUGGAGCUGUGAGGGAAUUCGAAGUGGCCACCUGUUCUGAAAGUUUGAUUUUCUUCUGGUGAACUGGACAUCCUUUUAUUUACGUUUGAAGUUUUGAGUUUUUAAAUGUAAUAAGGCCGCUUAUUUUUUUUGAUGGUUUUUUUUAUAUGUAUUACUAAGAUAGGUAAUACUUAUUUUAACUGUUGAAAUUGGAUAGCUUUAGGGCGCAUUUUCAAAAAAC
rnacentral:lncRNA from 1 species